rnacentral:lncRNA from 1 species
AUGUUGGGUCUCACUUCUUCCCCCGGGGGGGGGCCUGUGGGGCUCUGCACCCCGCUGGGGGGGCCCGUCAGCUCCAUGGGGCUCAGCCCUGGUAGGGGGGGGGGGAGAAAGAGACCACGGUCAAGCCCUGUUCACCCCCUUCCCUUGUCCUGCUCCUCCGGCCACUUGUCUGUCUGUCCGUCCCCCCACAAAUCCCAGAGGUCUGGUGUGUGCGUCCCCCCCCAACCCAAAUUGGGGCAAAGCCUCCCUCCCAGCAAAGUUUUACCUGGAGUCUCUCCGGGGGCCCCUCUCGCCUUGGGGACAGUGGGACCUGAAAGGGGACUGUCCCCGAGGCUGCUGCGGGGGGAGGCCAGGUCCAUCUCCUCGGCCCAGUCCGGGACAGGCUGGUGGCCUCCCAGUGGGGAGAAGGGACUGAGGGGGGUGCAGCCCCCCCUCUCUGGGGCGCUGGGGGACAGGGGCAGUUGGGGAGGCACAGCCUGCCCGAUUCUGGGGGGACGCUGGGCUUUGGGGGACGCACUGCGGGGGGGUUCAGCCUCGUUUGACAAUUCUGGGCUGCCUUCCUCUUCCUCCUCCUCCUCUUCCUCCUCCUCUUCCUCGCUGACAUCCUCCCACUGGUCCUCAUCCUCCUCUGGGCUCAGGGAAGCGGGGGGCUCCGGGGGGGCCCCGCUGGGGAUUUCCUCUGCCUGCAGGCACAGAUUCGGGGGUGUCAGGGGGGGAAUAGGGCCCCACGAAGUGUUUCCUCUGCCUGGGGACACCGAUUUGGGGGUGUCGAGGGUGGGGGGAGAAGGGCCCCAUGAGGUGUUUCCUCUGCCUAGGGGCACAGAUUUGGAGGGGCAUCAGAGGGGGGAGAAGGGCCCCACAGCCAAAGACCCCCCCACAUUUCCCCCCUCUGGCGUUUUACCCUCCGGAUCUCGGCUUCCUCGCUCGGCGCCAGCAGCUCCUUCUCUUCCCACCGGUUGUCAUGCAUGCUGGCGGGGAGAAGGGGGGAGAAAGGUGAUCCCAACAGCUCAGAAAACAAAAUCCAGGGAAAAAGAGGAGUUCAGAGAGGAGCGCCCCCCCCCCCCUCCACCCCGUCGCACCUCCCCCUCACCUGUAGGGUUUGGUCCCACCGCCCUGGCCCCGGCCCUUUUUCCUACGUGGAGCGCGAUGUGGGGUGAGAAACUCCCCAAAAGUGGGAGGUUUGGGAGGAUGCCGCCUGUUUUCCUCCCCACCGCCGGCUUCCAAGGUGGGCGCCGCCGCAGAACCCUCCUUGAACCUAAAAAAAAAAAAAAAAAACAAAAAAAGGAGCCGGUGACACGGGGAACACCAUGA